AUUGAACGCUGGCGGCAGGCCUAACACAUGCAAGUCGAGCGGAUGAAGGGAGCUUGCUCCUGGAUUCAGCGGCGGACGGGUGAGUAAUGCCUAGGAAUCUGCCUGGUAGUGGGGGAUAACGUCCGGAAACGGGCGCUAAUACCGCAUACGUCCUGAGGGAGAAAGUGGGGGAUCUUCGGACCUCACGCUAUCAGAUGAGCUUAGGUCGGAUUAGCUAGUUGGUGGGGUAAAGGCCUACCAAGGCGACGAUCCGUAACUGGUCUGAGAGGAUGAUCAGUCACACUGGAACUGAGACACGGUCCAGACUCCUACGGGAGGCAGCAGUGGGGAAUAUUGGACAAUGGGCGAAAGCCUGAUCCAGCCACGCCGCGUGUGUGAAGAAGGUCUUCGGAUUGUAAAGCACUUUAAGUUGGGAGGAAGGGCAGUAAGUUAAUACCUUGCUGUUUUGACGUUACCAACAGAAUAAGCACCGACUAACUUCGUG
rnacentral:rRNA from 1 species